UGACCUCAGCAGUUAUACACAACACACAGAC
rnacentral:piRNA from 1 species